rnacentral:rRNA from 1 species
CAAGUCGAACGCGAAAGUCCCCUUCGGGGGAUAAGUAGAGUGGCGUCCGGGUGAGUAACACGUAGGUAAUCUACCUUCGGGUGGGGAAUAACCCAGGGAAACUUGGGCUAAUACCGCAUAUUGCAGCGGCACCACAUGGUGACAGUUGUUAAAGCGGGGGAUCUUCGGAUCUCGCGCCUGAAGAGGAGCCUGCGGCAGAUUAGCUAGUUGGUAAGGUAAUGGCUUACCAAGGCGACGAUCUGUAGCCGGCCUGAGAGGGCGGUCGGCCACACUGACACUGACAUACGGGUCAGACUCCUACGGGAGGCAGCAGUCGGGAAUUUUGGGCAAUGGGCGAAAGCCUGACCCAGCAACGCCGCGUGAAGGAUGAAAUCCCUCGGGAUGUAAACUUCGCAAGAAUGGGAAGAAUUAGUAGGGGUUAAUACCCUCUAUGAUGACGGUACCAUUUGUAAGCUCCGGCUAACUCCGUGCCAGCAGCCGCGGUAAUACGGGGGGAGCAAGCGUUGUUCGGAUUUACUGGGCGUAAAGGGCGCGUAGGCGGUCAGCACAAGUCAGUUGUGAAAUCUCCGGGCUUAACUCGGAAAGGUCAACUGAUACUGUGCGACUAGAGUGCGGAAGGGGCAACUGGAAUUCUCGGUGUAGCGGUGAAAUGCGUAGAUAUCGAGAGGAACACCUGCGGCGAAGGCGGGUUGCUGGGCCGACACUGGCGCUGAUGCGCGAAAGCCAGGGGAGCGAACGGGAUUAGAUACCCCGGUAGUCCUGGCCUUAAACGAUGGAUGCUUGGUGUCUGGAGUUUUAUAGUCUCCGGGGUGCCGUAGCUAACGCGUUAAGCAUCCCGCCUGGGGAGUACGGUCGCAAGACUGAAACUC